rnacentral:lncRNA from 1 species
GUCACACUAAAUUAAGAGUAAGAGUAAGGUGCAGAAAACAACAUAUGAGAGAGAGAGAGACAGAACAGUUUCAAAGAAGGCUAAAGCAGAAGCAUCAUCAACAGAACAGUUCGAUUUGAAUUUGGAACAACCCAAAAAGUUAAAUAAAAUAAAAAUAAUUUCUUUUUAAUAGAAAAGAACCCAUAAUAAAUAAAAGAUAAAAUUUUGAUUGAGAAAUCUCUCAAUACCUGGUAAAUGGAACCUUGGCACAGUACGGUAGAUCUAGAAGAAGAAGAAGAAGAAAGGCUUCGAAAAUCCAAAGGCAACUGAAGCACAAGCAAUCCUACUCACUGCAGAUCAAUCAAUAGAGGAAUGCAAAGAUUGAUAGAUUAUUGGAUCGGAAGUGAUUGUGAAGAAUUUGGGAACCUAAGUUGGUGAUAUAUAUAGAUACGAUGAAGCGGAUAGAAGAAAACGGAUCUGGACGUCAUUGAAAACAAUACAUUCUGCACUUGAACAAAGCCGCGACUUUCAGUGGUGACUGGACGAUUCCACCGCCGUCGGUUCCGAGAUUCGUUGCAGUGAAGUGGUGGUUCUCAACUCAAUUCUACUUUACCAUAUUAUGCA